UAAUACGGAGGAUCCAAGCGUUAUCCGGAUUUAUUGGGUUUAAAGGGUGCGUAGGCGGCCUAUUAAGUCAGGGGUGAAAGACGGUAGCUUAACUAUCGCAGUGCCUUUGAUACUGAUGGGCUUGAAUGUACUUGAGGUAGGCGGAAUGUGACAAGUAGCGGUGAAAUGCAUAGAUAUGUCACAGAACACCAAUUGCGAAGGCAGCUUACUAAAGUAUGAUUGACGCUGAGGCACGAAAGCCGUGGGGAUCAAACAGGAUUAGAUACCCUGGUAGUCCACGCCCUAAACGAUGAAUACUCGAUGUUGGCGAUAUACAGUCAGCGUCAAAGCGAAAGCGUUAAGUAUUCCACCUGGGGAGUACGCCCGCAAGGGUGAAACUCAAAGGAAUUGACGGGGGCCCGCACAAGCGGAGGAGCAUGUGGUUUAAUUCGAUGAUACGCGAGGAACCUUACCCGGGCUUGAAAGUUAGUGAAUGAUACAGAGACGUAUCAGUCCUUCGGGACACGAAACUAGGUGCUGCAUGGCUGUCGUCAGCUCGUGCCCGUGAGGUGUUGGGUUAAGUCCCGCAACGAGCGCAACCCCUAUGUUUAGUUGCCAGCACGUAAAGGUGGGGACUCUAAACAGACUGCCUAUGCAAAUAGAGAGGAAGGAGGGGACGACGUCAAGUCAUCAUGGCCCUUACGUCCGGGGCUACACACGUGCUACAAUGGGCAGUACAGAGGGCAGCUACCUGGCAACAGGAUGCCAAUCUCAAAAAGCUGUUCACAGUUCGGAUCGGGGUCUGCAACUCGACCCCGUGAAGUUGGAUUCACUAGUAAUCGCAGAUCAGCAAUGCUGCGGUGAAUACGUUCCCGGGCCUUGUACACACCGCCCGUCAAGCCAUGGAAGCUGGGGGUGCCUGAAGUGCGUAACCGUAAGGAGCGUCCUAGGGUAAAACCGGUAACUGGGGCU
rnacentral:rRNA from 1 species